CGGCGACUAGGAUAUGUUAAACGGCCGCGGUACCCUAACCGUGCAAAGGUAGCAUAAUCAUUUGCCUUUUAAUUGGAGGCUUGUAUGAAUGGUUUGACGAGGGCUGAGCUGUCUCUUUUGAAAUAUUUAGAAAUUAACUUUUAGGUGAAGAGGCCUAAAUUUGGUUGAGGGACAAGAAGACCCUGUUGAGCUUUAGUUUUAUGCUAAAUGGGUUAAUAUAUUUAUAUUGAUAUGGAUCGUAAGGUGUAAUGGGAUUUUAGCGUGAAUCUUUAGUUGGGGCGACUGAGGAACAAUUAAAGCUUCCUUUAAUUUAAGAAGGAGAUAUGGUGGUUCGAAGUAAUAUAUUCCUGCGAGUUGUUUUGAUCCAGUAGAUAUUGAUUAAAGGAAAAAGUUACCACAGGGAUAACAGCGUAAUCUUUCUGGAGAGAUCUUAUCGAAAGGAGGGUUUGCGACCUCGAUGUUGGACUAAGAUAUCCUAAGGGUGUAGAAGCUCUUGAUGGUUGGUCUGUUCGACCAUUAAAAUCUUACGUGAUCUGAG
rnacentral:rRNA from 1 species